rnacentral:rRNA from 1 species
CCUGGUUGAUCCUGCCAGUAGUCAUAGGCUUGUCUCAAAUAUUGAAGCCAGCAUGUGUAUGUAUGAACUAAUUCAGACGGGGAAACUGCGAAUGGCUCAUUAUAUCAGUUAUAGUUUGUUUGAUGGUACCUACUACUCGGGUAACCGUAGUAAUUCUAGACCUAAUACGUGCAACAAACCCCGACUUCUGGUAGGGAUGCAUUUAUUAGAUAAGAGGUCAACGCAGGCUCUGCCUGUUGCUUUGAUGAUUCAUGAUAACGCGUCGGAUCGCACGGCCCCUGUGCCGGCGACGCAUCAAUCAAAUUUCUGCCCUAUCAACAUUCGAUGGUAGGAAUAGUGGGCUUACCAUGGUGGUGGACGGGUGACGGAGAGAAUUAGCGUUCGAUUCCGGAGAGGGAGCCUGAGAAACGGCUACCACAUCGAAGGAAGGCAGCAGGCGCGCAAAUUACCCAAACCUGCCGGGAGUGGUAAGUGACAAAUAAAUACAAUAGCCGGGCUUCAUAGAGUUCUGGUAAUUGGAAUGAGUACAUUCUAAAUCCCUUAACGAGAAUCCAUUGGAGGGCAAGUCUGGUGCCAGGAGCCGCGGUAAUUCCAGCUCCAAUAGCAUAUAUUUAAGUUGUUGCAGUUAAGAAGCUCGUAGUUGGACCUUGGGGUGGGCCGAUCGGUCCGCCGUCGGUGUGCACAGGUCGGCUCGUCCCUUCUGCCAUCGAUGCGCUCCUGGCCUUAACUGGCGGGGUCGUGCCUCUGGCGCUGUUACUUUGAAGGAAUUAGAGUGCUCAAAGCAGGCCUACGCUCUGUAUACAUUAGCAUGGGAUAGCAUCAUAGGAUUCCGAUCUUAUUGUGUUGGCCUUCGGGUUCGGAGUAAUGAUUAACAUGGACAGUCGGGGGCAUUCUUAUUUCAUAGUCAGAGGUGAAAUUUUUGGAUUAUGAAAGACAAACAACUGUGAAAGCAUUUGCCAAGGAUUUUUCAUUAAUCAAGAAGAAAAGUUGGGGGCUCUCGAAGAGGAUCAGAUACCGUCCUAGUCUCACCCAUAAACGAUGCCGACCAAGGAUCAGCGGAUGUUUCUUUUAGGACUCCCACUGGCACCUUAUGAUAAAUCAAAGUCUUUGGGUCCCGGGGGGAGUAUGGUCGCAGGGCUGAAACUUAAAGGAAUUGACGGAAGGGCACGACCAGGAGUGGAGCCUGCGGCUUAAUUUGACUCAACACGGGGAAACUUACGAGGUCCAGACAUAGUAAGGAUUGACAGAGUGAGAGCUCUUUCUUGAUUCUAUGGGUGUUGGUGCAUGGCCGUUCUUAAUUGGUGGAGCGAUUUGUCUGUUUAAUUCCGUUAACGAACGAGACCUCAGCCUGCUAAAUAGCUAUGUGGAGGUAACCCUCCACGGCCAGGUUCUUAGAGGGACUAUGGCCGCCUAGGCCACGGAAGUUUGAGACAAUAAGGCAGGUCUUUGAUGCCCUUAGAUGUUCUAAGCCGCACGCGCGCUACACUGAUGUAUUCCACGAGUCUAUAGCCUUGGCCGACAGGCCCCGGUAAUCUUUGAAAUUUCAUCGUGAUGGGGAUGGAUCAUUGCAAUUGUUGUCUCUCAACGAGAAUAUUCCUAGUAGUAAGCGCGGGUCAUCAGCUCGCGUUGACUACGUACCUGCCCUUUGUACACACCGCCCGUCGCUCCUACGGAUUGAAUGGUCCGGUGAAGUGUACGGAUCGCGGCGACGUGGGCGGUUCGCUGCCGUCGACGUUGUGAGAAGUCCACUGAACUUAUCAUUUUAGAGGAAGGAGAAGUCGUAACAAGGUUUCCGUAGGUGAACCUGCGGAAG